rnacentral:rRNA from 1 species
AGGAUGAACGCUGGCGGCGUGCCUAACACAUGCAAGUCGAACGUCCUGUCUCGCAAGAGGCAGGGAGUGGCGGACGGGUGAGUACCACGUGGGUCAUCUACCGUGAGGUGAGGAAUACCGGCGAGAAAUCGCCGACAAGACCGCAUAGGCUCGAUGCAAGUCGAGCAAAGCUCUUUCGAGAGAGGGAGCGCCACACGAGGAGCCUGCGCCCGAUUAGCUAGCUGGUGGAGUAACGGUUCACCAGGGCGACGAUCGGUAGCUGGUCUGAGAGGACGAUCAGCCACACUGGGAUUGAGAACGGCCCAGACUCCUACGGGGGGCAGCAGUGAGGAAUUUUCGUCAAUGGGGGCAACCCUGAACGAGCAACGCCGCGUGCAGGAAGAAGGUUUCGGAUCGUAAACUGCUUUUCUCGGGAAGAGAAUGGACGGUACCCGAGGAAUCAGCCCCGGCUAACUACGUGCCAGCAGCCGC